rnacentral:rRNA from 1 species
AGUAAAUAGAUACCCGGGUAGUCCACGCCGUAAACGAUGUCGACAUGGAGGUUGUGCCCUUGAGGCGUGGCUUCCGGAGCUAAACGCGUUAAGUCGACCGCCUGGGGAGUACGGCCGCAAGGUUAAAACUCAAAUGAAUUGACGGGGGCCCGCACAAGCGGUGGAGCAUGUGGUUUAAUUCGAUGCAACGCGAAGAACCUUACCUACUCUUGACAUCCAGAGAACUUAGCAGAGAUGCUUUGGUGCCUUCGGGAACUCUGAGGCAGGUGCUGCAUGGCUGUCGUCAGCUCGUGUUGUGAAAUGUUGGGUUAAGUCCCGCAACGAGCGCAACCCUUAUCCUUUGUUGCCAGCGGUUAGGCCGGGAACUCAAAGGAGACUGCCAGUGAUAAACUGGAGGAAGGUGGGGAUGACGUCAAGUCAUCAUGGCCCUUACGAGUAGGGCUACACACGUGCUACAAUGGCGCAUACAAAGAGAAGCGACCUCGCGAGAGCAAGCGGACCUCAUAAAGUGCGUCGUAGUCCGG